ACUCUGGGUUUCCGUGGGUUUCCGUGUUCAACGUUUGAUUGUCCGUCUUAUUUAAAAAAAUUAUGAAAAAAUUAAAAAGACAAGUCACGUAGAAAUAUUAACCAUGUUUUAUUAUUUAACAAUAAUAAAAAUACUAAUUAUAAAAAAAAUUUCAUAUAAGAUCGAUAGUCAAACGUUGGACACGAAAAUCAAGGUUUGUCUUUUUU
rfam:Oryza meridionalis cultivar OR44 (W2112) chromosome 5, whole genome shotgun sequence.